rnacentral:lncRNA from 1 species
UAGUAUCAUUAAUAUCAUUAACAGAAAAAGGACAGACUUAUCAUAUGAUACUAGAUAACCACAAAAUGCUUGUCCACACAGUGGAGGUUGCAAAACCUUUGGUUGAACCCUCCUACAUGAUGACUAAUAUUUAGGUGUAUAUAAUAUAUGGUUUUCCCAUGUACAUAUCCACCUUUAUACAAAUAAUAGAACUUAAUAAUUAGCCAUACAAUUAUUGCCUAAAGGCUAAAGAAUUAAUUAGACAAUAAAUAAUUAAACAAUAUGCUAAACAAAUUAAUCAUUAAUUAUAAAAUCACACAGCUUAACUAGAAGGAUCUUCAUAUUUUCACUGUUUGAUAGAAUUCUUGUUAGGAACUUGAGAAAUCAUUCUUGUGUCUUGAGACUGCUUUUGAUAUUUUGAGAAUGAAUUAGAUCUUCCUUUCUUGUACCUCCUUCUUGGUUGUGUUGCUUGUGGGAUAAACACUCCUGUUCCUUUGCUUUCUCUUCUAAUCAAAGCUUGCUCAUAGAAGAAAUCAAACUGUGGAGGAGGAU